UUUGAUCCUGGCUCAGAACGAACGCUGGCGGCAUGCCUAAUACAUGCAAGUCGAACGAAGGCUUCGGCCUUAGUGGCGCACGGGUGCGUAACGCGUGGGAAUCUGCCCUUGGGUUCGGAAUAACGUCUGGAAACGGACGCUAAUACCGGAUGAUGACGUAAGUCCAAAGAUUUAUCGCCCAGGGAUGAGCCCGCGUAGGAUUAGCUAGUUGGUGAGGUAAAGGCUCACCAAGGCGACGAUCCUUAGCUGGUCUGAGAGGAUGAUCAGCCACACUGGGACUGAGACACGGCCCAGACUCCUACGGGAGGCAGCAGUAGGGAAUAUUGGACAAUGGGCGAAAGCCUGAUCCAGCAAUGCCGCGUGAGUGAUGAAGGCCUUAGGGUUGUAAAGCUCUUUUACCCGGGAUGAUAAUGACAGUACCGGGAGAUAAGCCCCNNNNGG
rnacentral:rRNA from 1 species